GGGUGCGAUCAUACCAGCUUUAAUGGACCGGAUCCCAUCAGAACUCCAUAGUUAAUCACGCUUGGGCUAGAGUAGUACUAGGAUGGGUGACCUCCCAGGAAGUCCUAGUGUUGCACCCU
rnacentral:rRNA from 1 species